AUGCCGCAUGGCAUUUACGGAAAAGACGCCUUAAAGCGUUGCUGGAGGAGCGGGGUGCGCAACAUUAGCUAGUUGGUGAGGUAACGGCCCACCAAGGCGAUGAUGUUUAGCGGGGUUGAGAGACUGAUCCGCCACACUGGGACUGAGAUACGGCCCAGACUCCUACGGGAGGCAGCAGUAGGGAAUAUUCCACAAUGGACGAAAGUCUGAUGGAGCGACACAGCGUGCAGGAUGAAGGCCCUAUGGGUUGUAAACUGCUGUGGUAAGGGAAUAAAAAAUAGUGUAGGAAAUGCCACUAUAUUGAAUGUACCUUAUUAGAAAGCAACGGCUAACUAUGUGCCAGCAGCCGCGGUAAUACAUAGGUUGCAAGCGUUAUCCGGAAUUAUUGGGCGUAAAGCGUCUGUAGGUUGUUUGUUAAGUCUGGCGUUAAAUUUUGGGGCUCAACCCCAAACCGCGUUGGAUACUGGCAGACUAGAGUUAUGUAGAGGUUAGCGGAAUUCCUUGUGAAGCGGUGAAAUGCGUAGAUAUAAGGAAGAACACCAACAUGGCGAAGGGCAGCUAACUGGACAUACACUGACACUGAGAGACGAAAGCGUGGGGAGCAAACAGGAUUAGAUACCCUGGUAGUCCACGCCCUAAACGUUGAUCAUUAGCUGAUGGGGAACUCAUCGGCGCAGCUAACGCAUUAAAUGAUCCGCCUGAGUAGUACGUUCGCAAGAAUAAAACUUAAAGGAAUUGACGGGGACCCGCACAAGCGGUGGAGCAUGUGGUUUAAUUUGAAGAUACGCGUAGAACCUUACCCACUCUUGACAUCUUCUGCAAAGCUAUAGAGAUAUAGUGGAGGUUAACAGAAUGACAGAUGGUGCAUGGUUGUCGUCAGCUCGUGUCGUGAGAUGUUCGGUUAAGUCCUGCAACGAGCGCAACCCUUAUCCUUAGUUACUAACAUUCAGUUGAGCACUCUAGGGAGACUGCCCGAGUAAUCGGGAGGAAGGUGGGGACGACGUCAAAUCAUCAUGCCUCUUACGAGUGGGGCCACACACGUGCUACAAUGGCCGGUACAAAGUGAAGCAACCUGGUGACAGUGAGCAAACCACAAAAAGCCGGUCUCAGUUCGGAUUGGAGUCUGCAACUCGACUCCAUGAAGUCGGAAUCGCUAGUAAUCGUAGAUCAGCUACGCUACGGUGAAUACGUUCUCGGGUCUUGUACACACCGCCCGUCAAACCAUGGGAGCUGGUAAUGCCCGAAGUCGGUUUAUUAACA
rnacentral:rRNA from 2 species